rnacentral:rRNA from 1 species
AUUAAACGGCCGCGGUACCCUAACCGUGCAAAGGUAGCGUAAUCACUUGUCUAUUAAUUGUAGACCUGUAUGAAAGGCAUCAUGAGGGCCUAACUGUCUCUUAUAAUAAAUCAAUUAAACUGAUCUCCUAGUACAAAAGCUAGAAUACCAACAUAAGACCAGAAGACCCUGUGAAGCUUUAACUAACCUAUUAAACCAUAUAAUAACUACUUUCGGUUGGGGCGACCUUGGAAAAAAAAGAAACUUCCAACUAAAACUCACAAAGGCCCACAAGCCCGACCCAGCAUAGCUGAUAAUUGAACCAAGUUACUCCAGGGAUAACAGCGCUAUCUUCUUCAAGAGCCCAUAUCAAAAAGAAGGUUUACGACCUCGAUGUUGGAUCAGGACAUCCUAAUGGUGCAGCAGCUAUUAAGGGUUCGUUUGUUCAACGAUUAACAGUCCUACGUG